GUCGUGAGGCAGGGUCUGAAGGAAGCUGGAGGCAAAAUCGCGGGCCUACGGACAGAAACCGCAUAUAAGGCAUGCAUGAUGGAUGAGUCUGCGAAUUAAGAUAAAAUCCGGAGCUGGGUCAUGGAUGUAAAUACGGAGGCUAUAUGCGAGGAAGGUCAA
rnacentral:ncRNA from 1 species